rnacentral:lncRNA from 10 species
CUCCACGGGACUUGCAGAGGCCUUUGUUGAGACUGUAACACAGCUCACUUUCUUCUACCCAAUCCUGCUUCCUCCCCUUCCUUUCCAUGAGAGUUGCUAUAGAAACAUUUUCUAAUAAAGUUCCUGUGUAAUCACCUUCUUCUCUGAAUCUCCUUCUGGAGACCUCAGCCAAAUACCACCAAACACUAACUGAAGGACAGAGAAACUUUACCAGUCUCAAGAAAAAGGAAAAAGAAGGAGAAAAGAAAGGGAGAGUGAUGGUGGCUAAAGUUAGAAACCUACCAGAAUAAGAAGGAAGAGUAGUCAAAAAGGGGAAUUGAGACCAAUACUCUGAUGGUUGAGUUUGGAGGAAGAAACUUGACCCACAUAGCUCAGCCCUUUGUUCUUCUCUUUUCUGGUAGUGAACUCAGUGGGAAGCCAUGCAUUUCCUUUACAAUGCUCCUCCACUGGCAGGUUCAGCUUCUGAUGGAGGAGGCCAACCCCAGUCACUGACAGUGACAAGAGACUUGGUAGCCAGCAUCCAACAGGCCACCAAUGAUUCAUUCCUCUGGCUAUCUCUUGUUUGUGUAGACACCAACCACUCUGAAUCUGGCUAACUUGUAAAACCAAUAGAAUAAUGGAGAAAUGACAGUGUGUGACUUUCUGAGGCAAAACCAUAAGAGAAAUUGUGACUUUUGCCUUGCUCGUUCUGGGAGAAGCCAGCUGCUAAUGUUAUGAAGACACUCAAACAGUCCUAUGGAAAGGGACUGAGGAUACUGCCAAUAGCCCGCAUCAACUUGUAAGUGAUGUAAUUAAGCCAUUUGCAAGGCAGAUCUUCUGGCUUCAAUCAAGCUUCAGACUACAGCCCAGGCCAACAUUUUGACAACAACCUCAUUGGAGACGCUGAGCUAGAGCCAUCGACUCCUGAAUUCCUCAUCAGGAGACAUUGUGUGAUAUUAUAUAAUGAAUGUUUAUUGUUGUUUGAAGCUAAAUCUUGAGAUCAUUUAUAUAGAGUGAUAGAGAAUUAAUACAAGAGGUUAAGUGCUGCCAAAUGUUAUAUCUGUUAGCAGACAUAAGUUACAUUCUCCAAUAUUAGCUUGAAAUACCAAAGGUGAAAUUUUACCUUCCAAAUGUUGCAUCUUUUGUGUUUUUGUUAUUACUUCAGAUCUUGAGUGAGGAAGAGGGGUUCCAGUUAUUGGGUCCCCUAAAACACUAACAUUAUGCUUUGCAUUUUAUCAUUCAUUCCCUAUUCAGCUAGCAUUCUGUUGAACAUUUACUAAUUCUAAGCACGGUGCAAAAGUUUUGAAUGCCAAAAGAGUAAGAAGACCUUUUCCACUGCCAUUAAAGUUUGCAUAGACUUAUGAAAAAUGGACAUAAUUAUUAAUAACUACUAAAUUAUAUCAUAGUCAAAUCUCAUAAACUGGUUAAUUGGCUAUGGGGGCAGAAGGAGAAGAGUUCAGCUAGUAUAAAAUUGAUUUGAUAUAUUUAAUUAAAAUUAUCUCUCAUAUGUAGACAGUGUAUGCGAGUAAGCCCAGCCCAAUGGGUUAUCACACUUAUGAUAAUCCUUUUUGAGGAGAGAAACAUAGUGUUGAGAGCAUAAACUCUGGAGCGAGGCUGCCUCAAUCUCUCUCCUGGCUCUGCCUCUUGGGACUGGUGUGAUUUUGGAAAAUUAACUUUUGGUGCCUUUUUCUGCAUCUGUCAAAUGAGGGUUAAAUGGGUGAAUACAUGUGCAGUAUUUAGAGUAGUGCCUAGCACCAUAUUAUUGUUUGGUAUUACUAUUAGAAUUUACAAAAUCUUUUCAUUAUGUUGACAAUGGUUAGCCUCAAGAUCCUGAAACUCUGAUUCAUGCAUAUAAGAGCCAAGUCAUACGUUGUUGUUUUCAUAAAUUAGUUUGCCAAAACAUGUAUUGAAGAUGUCUACUAGUGUUCCAAGAGCUUCGAGAGAAAUCUUUGCUCUUUCUACAGCAGAUAGGCUCAUGUGCUGGAAUUGCUUGUGUCCAUUUUUUGAUGCACUACCCACAAUUACCUUAUUAAUGUUAUCCUAUGAGAAACAAUUCAAGAUUUUUUAUUUCCUGAAGCUCUUCACAUAACCAGACAACAAUGCAAAAUAAAUAUUCUUUAUCUUGUUCAAAUUCAUACUUUUUCAAAUAAAAAAUGUUUUAUUCCAUAUUCUAGUUCAAGUUGUUCAGUAGUCCCCUCUUUUCAUAAUUGUUCUAAGUUAUUAAAUUUUUAUGGAAUGUAAAGCACUUAAUAGUUUUUGUUAAAUAAAAUGUUUUACUUACUAAGCUAUAUAUCUAAGGUGCAAAGGAGACAGGCUUUCCCACAUUGUAUUAACUACAUUAUGGCAUCUUUUGUUCACUAUCAUUCAAAAUGAUAGAACUUUAAAAUAAAAAAAAAAAAACAGGAGACAGUGGAGAGGGAGUCACAAAGAAUGUCUUGUGCAAAAAGAAAAAUGAGUUAAUGAGCAUGUUCCAAUACAAUGGACUAAUGUUUGUGUCCUCUCAAAAUUAAUAUGUUGAUAUUCUAACCCCCAAUAUGAUUGUAUUAAGAGAUGGAGCCUUGGUAAGGUAAUUAGGUCAUGAGGGUGGAGCCUCAAGAAAUUUCAUCAGCUUCAUGUUAAAUCCAUCUGGUACUUACACUUCUUGUGAGUUCAAAUAAAAAUCCCAUAAAGUUAUAUCCUGUGAAAUUUAAUAGAAUCCACCUAAUUCAGAGUUUUAUUUACAAUGCAUUUAUGGCCCCAUUUAUUGUAAAAUGAGAAUAAUUUCAAAUAAUAAUUUUAAGUUCCAUGUUAUUUGCAAAUGAAAAUGGAGUAAAGGAAGGGAGAAAAAAUAUUUGCUCUGUCAAAUUUGCAUUGUUGUACCCUAGAAAUUGAAAGAAGAAAUCAAUGAAAAACUGUGAUUUUGUUUGCCUUUUCCAAACAUAUUGCAUCAUUCAUGUAACCCAAUUUAGUAACCCUAUUUAAACUUUUUUCUUGAUGUGAAGCACAAAGAACUUUGAGUUC